rnacentral:rRNA from 1 species
AUUGAACGCUGGCGGCAGGCUUAACACAUGCAAGUCGAACGAGUGGCGGACGGGUGAGUAAUGCUUGGGCAUCUAGCUUAUGGAGGGGGCUCACUACGGUAACCUGUAGCUAAUACCGCGUACCAUAGGUUGAGCCCACGUGGGAUUAGGUAGUUGGUGAGGUAAAGGCACACCAAGCCGACGAUCUCUAGCUGGUCUGAGAGGCUGACCAGCCACACGGGGACUGAGACACGGCCCAGACUCCUACGGGAGGCAGCAGUGGGGAAUAUUGCGCAAUGGGGGCAACCUGACGCAGCCAGGCCGCGUGAAUGAAGAAGGUCUUCGGGUUGUAAAGUUCUUUCGGUAGCGAGGCGUUAACUACAGAAGAAGCACCGGCUAACUCCGUGCCAGCAGCCGCGGUAAUUC